rnacentral:lncRNA from 1 species
GAAGACUGCAAUUAUGCAUUGUAGGAGCAUUCUCUGAUAUACAAUGUUGGAAUGAAAUAGAGAUCGUUCUGAUUAUUGUGCUUCAAGCAAUCUCUUCUUCUCAAGUUACUCCCACCACAUGGCCUAGUCAACUGCUACUGAGCUGGGAACCAGAAGACCCUAGCAAGCAUCUGUCUAAGCUGUCAGUUUACUGAAUGAAACAUUUCAUCAUUCUGGCUAUAUCCAAAAUCAAACUGGUGGCAAAUAUCUGCCCUUGACUGAUGGGCGAGACCUCGCUGGAGAAGCCUGGAGAUUCCCGACCCUCCCAUCUAUUUGGUGAUUGCCUGAUAAAGUGGUAGAAAAGGCCAGAAAUACUUUCCUUAAAUUGGCACAAAUUUGUAGAACAAUUUAUAGUCCAGAACCCUUUCCUUGUCACUCUGCUGUCCACCAUCAGGUCAAGGCUGGCCUCAACUUGGGACCACAUCUUGACUUUGCUCUUCCCCCUGACUCUUUACAGGUUUGUCCUGAAGCACACUUCCUCAAUAAAUCAUGUACA